rnacentral:lncRNA from 1 species
AAAACAUCGGUCUCUCUUGGUUGUCUUCUUGCUCUCUACCUUCUUAGUAGCACUUACUUCAAGUACAUGCUUUCAUAUAUCUUGUUUUAUUACUUGUCAUCCUAGCCCGUCUUGAAAUACCUAGUAGUAGAUUUGCUAGUAGUUGCUUAUCUUUUGAGUUUCUAAUUAAAGUUUGUUAAGUAUUGUGUUUUAGCUUAAAACUGCCUAUUCACCCCCCUCUAGUCGGUAUCCUAGAUCCUACAAUCGCCCAUACUUAAAGUGCAUUACAUGACAACACAAUGAAAAGUCCAACAGUAAUGGAUACUACUGUGCAACGAGGUCACUUUCCCUUCCUCAGGGCAUCGGGAUUCUCCUCAAUCGCUGCUUUUGCUCGGCGUGCACGCUCAAGCUUCUUCUCCCUCUCCUCCUUGUUCGCAGCAACACGCCUCCU